rnacentral:rRNA from 1 species
CCUACGGGAGGCAGCAGUGAGGAAUAUUGGUCAAUGGACGAGAGUCUGAACCAGCCAAGUAGCGUGAAGGAUGACUGCCCUAUGGGUUGUAAACUUCUUUUAUAAAGGAAUAAAACGAGGCACGUGUGCCUUUUUGCAUGUACUUUAUGAAUAAGGAUCGGCUAACCCCGUGCCAGCAGCCGCGGUAAUACGGAGGAUCCGAGCGUGAUCCGGAUUUAUUGGGUGUAAAGGGAGCGUAGAUGGGUGUUUAAGUCAGUUGUGAAAGUUUGCGGCUCAACCGUAAAAUUGCAAUUGAUACUGGCAGUCGUGAGUACAGUUGAGGUAGGCGGAAUUCGUGGUGUAGCGGUGAAAUGCUUAGAUAUCACGAAGAACCCCGAUUGCGAAGGCAGCUUACUAAACUGUGACUGACAUUGAUGCUCGAAAGUGUGGGUAUCAAACAGGAUUAGAUACCCGGGUAGUC